AGUGAACGCUGGCGGUAGGCCUAACACAUGCAAGUCGAACGGCAGCACAGUAAGAGCUUGCUCUUACGGGUGGCGAGUGGCGGACGGGUGAGGAAUACAUCGGAAUCUACUUUUUCGUGGGGGAUAACGUAGGGAAACUUACGCUAAUACCGCAUACGACCUACGGGUGAAAGCAGGGGAUCUUCGGACCUUGCGCGAUUGAAUGAGCCGAUGUCGGAUUAGCUAGUUGGCGGGGUAAAGGCCCACCAAGGCGACGAUCCGUAGCUGGUCUGAGAGGAUGAUCAGCCACACUGGAACUGAGCCACGGUCCAGACUCCUACGGGAGGCAGCAGUGGGGAAUAUUGGACAAUGGGCGCAAGCCUGAUCCAGCCAUACCGCGUGGGUGAAGAAGGCCUUCGGGUUGUAAAGCCCUUUUGUUGGGAAAGAAAAGCAGCAGGUUAAUACGCCGCUGUUCUGACGGUACCCAAAGAAUAAGCACCGGCUAACUUCGUG
rnacentral:rRNA from 1 species